rnacentral:lncRNA from 1 species
ACCUUUUCUCAACCUUCUACUUCCUAUUAGAUCCUAUAUUGAAGUACAUAUAUGAGCAUUAGAACCAAAGUCCAAUACCCAACUAGAAGUAGAAGAAACCAUUAGGUUAGAUCUAUUAUGAGUAUACCUUCAGAAGGUUGUUCACCUUUUUUCAUCUUUAGGCUCUCCAAAUAAGAUGGAUAGUUUCUCCUCUAAUGGCC